GACGAACGCUGGCGGCGUGCUUAACACAUGCAAGUCGAACGGAAAGGCCCUGCUUUUGUGGGGUGCUCGAGUGGCGAACGGGUGAGUAACACGUGAGUAACCUGCCCUUGACUUUGGGAUAACUUCAGGAAACUGGGGCUAAUACCGGAUAGGAGCUCCUGCUGCAUGGUGGGGGUUGGAAAGUUUCGGCGGUUGGGGAUGGACUCGCGGCUUAUCAGCUUGUUGGUGGGGUAGUGGCUUACCAAGGCUUUGACGGGUAGCCGGCCUGAGAGGGUGACCGGACACAUUGGGACUGAGAUACGGCCCAGACUCCUACGGGAGGCAGCAGUGGGGAAUAUUGCACAAGGGGCGGAAGCCUGAUGCAGCAACGCCGCGUGCGGGAUGACGGCCUUCGGGUUGUAAACCGCUUUCGCCUGUGACGAAGCGUGAGUGACGGUAAUGGGUAAAGAAGCACCGGCUAACUACGUG
rnacentral:rRNA from 1 species